CCUACGGGUGGCAGCAGUGGGGGAUAUUGCACAAUGGGGGAAACCCUGAUGCAGCGACGCCGCGUGGGUGAAGAAGCGCCUCGGCGCGUAAAGCCCUGUCAGCAGGGAAGAAAAUGACGGUACCUGAAGAAGAAGCCCCGGCUAACUACGUGCCAGCAGCCGCGGUAAUACGUAGGGGGCAAGCGUUAUCCGGAUUUACUGGGUGUAAAGGGGGCGCAGACGGCGAUGCAAGCCAGGAGUGAAAGCCCGGGGCCCAACCCCGGGACUGCUCUUGGAACUGCGUGGCUAGAGUGCAGGAGGGGCAGGCGGAAUGCGUGGGGUAGCGGUGAAAUGCGUAGAUAUCAGGAGGAACACCGGGGGCGAAGGGGGCCUGCUGGACUGCAACUGACGUUGAGGCCCGAAAGCGUGGGGAGCAAACAGGAUUAGAUACCCCAGUAGUC
rnacentral:rRNA from 1 species